AGCAGCCUGAAUUUCCCCUAAAUACAACAACUUCACCAAAUUCAUAAAGCGACGCCGGAAGGUUGGUAUGUGUGUCAUGAAGGUCACAAUGCCCUCCAAUCUUCUAAUUAUGCCCUGCAAUUGUGCCCUUCUGACAUGGUCAUUAGAUGGAAAUCCAGAGUCAUCCCAAUCCUCAGGAUUUUCAUUUUUGGACCUUAUAAUUAACC
rnacentral:misc_RNA from 1 species